UACAGAGGGUGCAAGCGUUAAUCGGAAUUACUGGGCGUAAAGCGCGCGUAGGUGGUUUGUUAAGUUGGAUGUGAAAUCCUCCGGCUCAACCGGAGAACUGCCUCGGAUACUGGCGGUCUCGAGGAGGGUAGGGGCAUGCGGAACUAUGGGUGGAGCGGUGAAAUGCGUUGAUAUCCAUAGGAACUCCGGUGGCGAAGGCGGCGUGCUGGACCCUUUCUGACGCUGAGGCGCGAAAGCCAGGGGAGCAAACGGG
rnacentral:rRNA from 1 species